rnacentral:rRNA from 1 species
CUUUUGUGGGGUGCUCGAGUGGCGAACGGGUAGGUAACACGUGAGUAACCUGCCCUUGACUUUGGGAUAACUUCAGGAAACUGGGGCUAAUACCGGAUAGGAGCUCCUGCUGCAUGGUGGGGGUUGGAAAGUUUCGGCGGUUGGGGAUGGACUCGCGGCUUAUCAGCUUGUUGGUGGGGUAGUGGCUUACCAAGGCUUUGACGGGUAGCCGGCCUGAGAGGGUGACCGGCCACAUUGGGACUGAGAUACGGCCCAG